rnacentral:ncRNA from 1 species
GUUUUUUCUAGCUUAUUAUUUUAUUAAAUUAUUAUUUUAAAUAUAAAUUUUUAUUGGAGUAUAUAAUUAUAUUAAAAAUUUAAUUAUAUAAUAAAAUAUUUAUAGUAUUUAAAUUUAUAAUUUAAAGAAAUUUAGAUUUAGUAAUUAAUAAUUUUAUUGACAAAAUUUGUGCCAGCAGUCGCGGUUAUACAGAUAAUAAAAUAAAAAAUUAUUUAAUUUAAAAUUUUUAUUAAUUUGUUUAAUAAAAAUAAUAAUUAAUUAAGUUAAAUUUUAAUUAAAAAUAAAUUAUAUAUAAAUAUAAUUAUUUAAUGAAAUUUAAAUAUAAACUAGGAUUAGAUACCCUAUUAUUUAAAAUUAAUUAAUUAAAAAUUUAAGUAUUAAUAGAUAUAUUCUUUAAACUUAAAGAAUUUGGCAGUAUUUUAUUCUUUUUAAAGGAACCUGUUUAUUAAUUGAUAAUCCACGAUUAACUUUACUUAAUUUAAGAAUUUAUAUAUCGUUGUUAUAAAAAUAUAUUUAAAAAUAUUAAAAUUUUAAAAUUUCAAAAAAAAAUUAAAUCAAAUCAAGAUAUAAUUUAUAAUUAAGAAUUUAAUGGGUUAUAAUAAAAUAAUUUAAAAGGAUUAUAAUUUUAAAAUAUUAUAUGAAAGUAGAUUUAAUUGUAAUUUAAAUUAUUUAAUUUAAAUGAUUUUUGCUCUAAAGUAUGUACAUAUUGCCCGUCACUCUCAAUAUUAAUUUGAGAUAAGUCGUAACAUAGUAGAGAUACUGGAAAGUGUUUCUAGAAAA